UUCUCCUUGCUCUGUUCUCGGAUGCGCGUUCGUGACGUCACGUAAUACGCAAUUACGUUGAAAAGGUCACGCUUGACAUAGGCGGAAGUACAGAUUCGGUGUUUACAACUUAAACGUGCAAAUACUAAGUCAAACGCCGUUUACAAAAAAAGGUAAAACAACAAUGUCGGACGAGGAGAAGAUGAGUUUUUCGCCUGCCCUACCUUUUGAACCGGAAUACACAGAGGAAGAAAUUAGGCAGAUGGAAGAGACUGCUGCGGCGACACACACCUCUCAAGCAUCGGGCAGACGAAGAUCUAACGAGACGUGGUGGUGCACAUGUGGCAAAUGCCAACCAUUGCCAACAGAGGAAGAAUCUAGAUGCUGCCACGACUGGACCAUUUCAAUCCCGCCAUUAGAAUCAGUCGCUUGAUGGCUCUGGCUGCAGGGGCUCGGAAAAUGGAGGGAUUGUGUCGUGGCAGGGAGGGAGCCGUGAACGAGUGAGGAGGGCAGCUGUGAGGCGCUGAUAAAAUCACUUCCGCCUCAGCUCUGCUCAUCCACGAAGCUCACAGAUGCGAGCCCCAGGCCAUCAGCAGCCGUUCAGUGCUCAUGUACCCGCAGAGAACAGAUUCAUCUCGGCCAGUCAUUCAGGACAUUGGGAGCUGUGAUAAAGACCUUGAUUUAUCAAUCAGCUCUCACUGGCACCACAGAAGCAUUCCUCCAAAUGUGUAGCCAACAGCAUGGGAAGAUCCAGGCUGGUUUGAUGCACCAUAGCAUGGCGGCGCCAAUGAAAGGCACAGACUUACAACAGCAUGCCUAAUGAAAAGGCUUAUUCCUCUGGUAGGGCAACAAGCACUGCACCCAUUACAAGAGACAGUGAGGAAAGAAUAAACUAGAACAAGCAUGUUGUGUUGUGGGACGGCGCACGGCAGAUGUAGGGAAUGUGCUGCUAUGUAUACGUGCAUGCAUAUGUGUGUGUGGGCGCAUUCGGGAGUCAGCGUGUGUGAAAUGGCUGCCUGGAUUGCCCUGAGCUCCCGUAGCUCCAGAAGAACCAGCCCUGCCAGCUGGCUCCCCAUCCCUCCCUGCUGAGAAGAAACCCGUUUGGGCAUCAGUCAGCCUGCAGCUCUGCAGCAGACAUCUGGAGGUUAUUGUUCUAUAGGGCCGCAUUGCUCUGCUUGCAACCCUGUCUGGAGUUUUCCAUUACACGCCAGUACGCCACACGCCACUCAUUUGCUACUUUCUUAAUCAUUCUUCGCACAAGACCUCACCGUCGGGAGAAACCAGAAAUGUACCUGGAUUUUCACUGAAGUUCCAUUAUUGAAAAGACGAGAACAAACAGCGGGAUUAGAAUUAGUACUACAAAAGUGCUCCACUGUGUCAAAUGAGUCUUAUGAGUCAGCGUUAUUUUAAAAUUAUUUAGAUAGUUAGAUUUUUUUAGUAAUAUUCUGAAUAAGUUUAUAUUCUUACAUUUUCAGUUUUAAUUUAUUUUAUUUCGGUUUUAUUAUUAGUAAUGCUUGUACUUUAACUUAUUUUAUUUCAGUUACAUUUCUAAUUUUUAUGUAGCCUAAGUUUUUCCAGUUUAAGCUUUAAAGUCCCCUGUGGUGAAAAUUAAGUUUUUAAUGUUGUUUAUAUGUCUAUGUGGUGUUUUUAAGACAAACCAUGUGCAAAUUCAUAAGUCAACACCAUUGCUGAGUAUUUUCUGUUUUAAACUUCAAUGAUCUAAUGACAGUUUCUGACAUCACAAACUACCUUGUGAAAGUGCUAGCGGGCAUUAACUAUUACCACUCUAAAACAGGGGAGUCUCAAGAGAAUAUAUCCCGGUAUAUUUUAAUCUACCCAGAAAAAUCGGGUAGAUUUAGCAAUAUAGCGAGUGAAUGAUGUAUAUUACUAUGUUAUGAUGAAUAUGCUUUUCUCCACUGACGUUUUAA